AUCAGUGACAGGCCCACAGGCCCUAUUCUGAGACACUUCUAUUUCCUGGCUCCUAUUACCUGCCCACAAAUUCAAUUUCCAGAGGCCAUUGUGCACCUCCAGGGCCUGGCGAAUAUGAGGAAACCCAGAGGAGGGAGGGAGGGAGGGAAGCAUGUGUCUGCCUGGAUGCAGGCAGCCACCCCACCCCCAGCCCAUCCGUCCCCUCUGCCUCCUCAAGGCCAAUGAUGAUGGUGCCUAGGAUGCCUGGGCUCAGCCGCCAGGCCUCCACACCUCCUCACCCUCGCCGAGGGCCAGCCCUGCCGCGUCCCCCUCAUUGCCCCAUUCACACAUCCCCCGUCCGACAAACACUCAGGGGCACCCACUAGGUGCCAGCAGCAUGCUCAGCAGGGGGACACGGCCAUGAACGGGGCAGCUCUGUCCCCAAGCAAAGGAAUGCCCGCUGUGUGUUGGUGGUGAGAUGAGACAGAGCAGGGCGGGUUGGAGAGGUGGGGUCCUCUCUGAGGAGGGGACGUGGGAGUGGGGGUCUCGAGGUGGGAGCACACUUCAGGGGCCUGGGGAGGGUCCAGCCCAAGCGAUGCCUCGAGGCUGCCUCUGUGCCACACAGAGCUCCCAGAACAGAGUGGGAGUACCUGUUCUGGAAGGAUCCUUUGGGCUGCCCAGUGGGGAGGCCAGAGGCAGGGAGUCCGCUGAGAAGGUGGGCACACCUGGGUCAGGUGGGUGGCCGUGGAGAAGAAAAGGUUCAGUGUCCCAGUUUCAUUGGGGUGACAUGAAGAAAUAGCCUCAAAGAGGCCAAGUCACUUGCCCAGGACCAAGUGGAAGAGACCCGAGAUGCUGCGUCUUGGGGGCAAGCCCUGGGUUGAGCUCUGGGGAGAGCCCCCACCUGUUCAGUGGGGAGAUGGCGACUAAGCGUCACGGGGGUGACUGGUUCUACCUGGAAGACUUCACAGAGGAGGCAUUGCUUGAGCCAGGGGAGGAGAGCAGGUAGGGACAGCCUCCGACAGCUGCCUCCAUUCAAGUGCAGCGUUAUCUGGGAGUGAGGCUGACCGUUAAUGACUGGUUAGACUAGCAGAGGGACUGGCAGCGUCCCUCUAACCCCAGAGCCUAAUCUCCCCUCUCCCCAUUCCCGAGGCACCUUCUCCCGCCACCCUUUAUCUCCCUGGUGAUCUCUGGGCAACAGCGGCAACUUUUAUGAAAAGAGGAAAGACUGCGUUUUGGUGUGUGUUGACUCCUGGCUUCACCACUUCUUAGCUCUGGCUCAGUUCCCCCAGGUGGAAGAGGUAAUAAUAGUACCUACCUGUGGGAUUGUUAAGAAGAUAAGAGCCACAGCACACAGUAGAUAAUCAGUAGUUUUGGGGCCCAGAGGACAUGCAUUUUGCUGAGCCUACCAUGCCCUUUCAUACUGUCAUCUGAAACCCCUUCCCCAUCGCCUCACAGAGAACUCCUGUGCAUUCUUCAAAACCCAAGUCAAAUAUCCCCUCUUCUCUAGAGCCACCUCUAAUUGUUAGUCCCUCCAUGCCUCCACUGGUGUCCUUGAGCAUCUCAUCACCCAGCACCUAAUGAAUACCUGCUGUAUGCUAGCUGCCUGCUGUAGUCUGCGACCGCCAGGAAACAGAAGCAGUUCCUACUUGCCUCCCAACUACGGCCCCCACUUGAUUCGGCCUCUCUGGAGGUUUUGGCUCCCUGCCCCCACCAAGCAGAGAUUUCCUCCCUCCCUUUCUGUGUGGGUGCAAGUGGGGAGGGGGUGACCGACAGGGACAGGAGAGAGACAGCCUGGGUGACUCAGAGACUAACUCCCCGUAUUUCUCUUCCUCUGUGUGUUCCCUUCCCCUGCCUCUCCUCUCUCCCUGUUUCUUACCUCUUCUGUCUCUUCUCUCCACGGGCUUGUGUCUCCUCUCCCAUCUCCCGCCACUUCUCCCUCCUCCAUUCUCAAAUUCCCCCCCACCCCACCCGCCGUGUUGCUCUUCCCUUCCCGCCUCCUAACCCUCUCGGCUGUUCUUUUUCUCCUCUCGUGCCAUCUGGGCUCCCACAGAGCCCCCGAAGAAAAAGCGGUCUGUGGUGUUGGACGAGAUCCUGGAGCAGCUGGAAGACAGUGAGAACGAUGGCGAGGAGCAGACUCUUCAGCUGUGAGCUGGCACCAGGAGGCCGCUCCACCUUCCGCGCUCCCUACCUCCUGUGGGGGCUGGGGGACAGCAGGCAGCCCCCACCCUUCACUGGUCCAAGGUCAGAGGGGACGACGGCCCCACACUGACCGAGCCUGCUCUGUGCCCGGCACCGGAAGCUAGAGAGCAGGCAGGGUGUGGCCACACUGGGGAGACCCUUGUGGCCGUGUGCAGUCUCGGAAGCAGCCAAAACCAGCCACCACCACCGCUUCCCCACCUGAGUUCUCCCACUGGCUCCUCCUCCCAGCAGCCCUGAGCCGCAGCCAGGGCCCCAUCCUGCUGGUGGAAGGCGAGGGCAGCUCCCUGCACUCUGGCGGUCUGGGCAUGAAGCCACCCACCACCCGGCACAGACAGGGGGCCCCACCUCACCUCCCUGUGCCCAGCCUCCUCCUCACUAACUGGGCUGCUAAGCUGGAGUUCCCACCUCCGUCUGUCCAAGGACGACUCGCAGCCUGGGACUUGACCUCUGACCUGCCGCAUCCUCGCCCCUGAGGGCUGUGAGCCCUUAGUCACCAGAGCACCUUGUGUCCAUGGUGACCAUGGGGCCACUCACAAAGCCCCAACUCCAAGCCCAGCUGCCAGGUUCAUUGGUUGAGCUCAGCUGUGUUGCUAACGGUGAAUGCCUUUGGCUCACGGACUGGGGACCCAAUGAAAUGCCAUCAGGUCCCCAGCCCUGGCAAGCAGCACCCCAAGGCUCAUCCCAGAUUUGGGGGCACCCACAGGCCCACACCUACUCCUGCCUGGAGGUUUGUACCCAGCACACGCCAGGAUGGGGACAGUGGAGAGAAAAGGGCUGUGGCCCAUGUGCCCUGGGACCAGCUGGGGCCACUCUGAGCCUCAGCUUCUCUCUCUGUAAGGUGAGGGAUCUCGUGCCUACCUCAGACAUGGUGCUUGGACUCCUUCAUCAAUCCAAGUAAAGCCAGAACAAGUGCUCAUCAGCGUUUCUAUUUACUUCUUAAUUUGGGGCGGCAGGGCUGUGAGUGCCAGCCCAGGAAUCUUCUGAGUUGCUGUGUAAAAUUUGGUCUCUGUUUUUCUGGGAGGAGGCUCCAGUGCACUUCAAGCAGUUUUCAAAGUGGCCUGGAAUCCAAGCAAGACUACACAGCGCCGACCGCCUCCCACGAGGCCCAGCGUGUCCCCAGUUCCCUCUGGGGCAGGUGCUUCCUGAUCAGUCCUAGCUCACCCCUGGGACGUGAAGAGAAGUGAAAGACACAGGCCCAGCGUGGCUCAUUCCCAGCUUUUAAGGGGAGUGUCCCCGCAACAUCAGACCACUGCAUCCAGUGGAGGCCCGGGGUGACCGGACUCCCAAGUCACCGUGGGUCCCAGGAAUGAUGGGGCUGGGAUCUCCCCCUCCCUCCCCACAGUGUGUCCUAUUAAGGGCCAUGUGGAUUCUUCUAGUCAAAUAAGAUCACAGACCCAUGGGAUUGGCACGGAAGCAGGCAGCAUUGGCACCAACAUCACUGACCUAGGUAACUAUACUAGGACGUCCCCAGAGCAGGAUUUGCCACCUCCUGCUGUCAGCGCGCCAGCUCAGGCUCUGCGUUCAGACCAGUCUGGGUCCCUGGUUCAAUCCAUCCCUCGCCAGCUUCAGGAGCCUGGGUCAGUGCCUUAACCUCACCUUUCAAAUGGGAUGACGCUAACAGUGCCUCCAUCACAGGGGGUGGGGGGUAGUGAGGCCCGGAGAGCUUCAAAUACCUGCAGGAUGUGAAUGUCUGACCCCAGCCUUGGGUCUUUCUUUGACCUUCAUGCUUUACUGUCUUAACUGUGUCC
rnacentral:lncRNA from 1 species